UACGAAGGGGGCUAGCGUUGCUCGGAAUCACUGGGCGUAAAGCGCACGUAGGCGGCUUUCUAAGUCAGGGGUGAAAUCCUGGAGCUCAACUCCAGAACUGCCUUUGAUACUGGGAAGCUUGAGUCCGGAAGAGGUGAGUGGAACUGCGAGUGUAGAGGUGAAAUUCGUAGAUAUUCGCAAGAACACCAGUGGCGAAGGCGGCUCACUGGUCCGGUACCGACGCUGAGGUGCGAAAGCGUGGGGAGCAAACAGG
rnacentral:rRNA from 1 species